CUCCAGUGAUGAUACAGCCAUGCUAAUACUGAUGCAUUAGGCAGAUGUACUGAGUCUGCCUGGGUGCAUGUGAGUUCAACUCACCUUCUCACACUGAUUGUGUCAGUGUGUGCUGAGGAGA